rnacentral:rRNA from 1 species
UACGGAGGGGACUAGCGUUGUCCGGAAUUAUUGGGCGUAAAGAGCUCGUAGGCGGUUUGUCGCGUCUGCUGUGAAAACCCGAGGCUCAACCUCGGGCCUGCAGUGGGUACGGGCAGACUAGAGUGCGGUAGGGGAGAUUGGAAUUCCUGGUGUAGCGGUGGAAUGCGCAGAUAUCAGGAGGAACACCGAUGGCGAAGGCAGAUCUCUGGGCCGUAACUGACGCUGAGGAGCGAAAGCAUGGGGAGCGAACAGG